UCGGUGGAUAAGGGAUAUGAAGGGACAGUGCAGCAAACCUGACCAACUGAUCUAAUUGAUCAGUUCAUUGAUUGCUGGAAAUCAGGAAUUCCAGGAAUUCCUACCUCUGGGCUAAGGUGAAGGCUGGGUUGAGAUCCAUGGGGUUGAGUGGUGAUGAUGGCUGGGUGGAGGCCAAUGGUUAUGUGAAUGUUGGAGGGAAGGAGGGAUCAAUACCAGGGGUGAUGGAGGGGUGGAUGCUGAGGUUGUUGGAUUUGGUGGAGGCUGUGGUAAGACUGUGGAGGAGUAGGGGUGGAUACUAAGGGUGUUUGGUGGAGUGGAGGAUGGGGAAGGCAUGAGGGAGUAGGGGUAGAUUCUGAGUUCAGCUACAUUCUACAGUAGGUUACUCUCCCAUAAGUUGACUGUUCAGCUACUGUAGGUUACUCUCCCAUGCUAGUGUAGGUUACUCUCCCAUCCUACUUUAGGUUACUCUCCUAUGCUACUGUAGGUUACUCUCCCAUGCUACUGUAGGUUACUAUCCCAUGCUACUGUAGGUUACUCUCCCAUGCUACUGUAGGUUACUCUCCCAUGCUACUGUAGGUUACUCUCCCAUCUUACUGUAGGUUACUCUCCCAUCUUACUGUAGGUUACUCUCCCAUGCUACUGUAGGUUACUCUCCCAUGCUACUGUAGGUUACUCUCCCAUGCUACUGUAGGUUACUCUCCCAUGCUACUGUAGGUUACUCUCCCAUGCUACUGUAGGUUACUCUCCCAUGCUACUGUAGGUUACUCUCCCAUGCUACUGUAGGUUACUCUCCCAUGCUACUGUAGGUUACUCUCCCAUGCUACUGUAGGUUACUCUCCCAUGCUACUGUAGGUUACUCUCCCAUGCUACUGUAGGUUACUCUCCCAUGCUACUGUAGGUUACUCUCCCAUGCUACUGUAGGUUACUCUCCCAUGCUACUGUAGGUUACUCUCCCAUGCUACUGUAGGUUACUCUCCCAUGCUACUGUAGGUUACUCUCCCAUGCUACAGUAGGUUAAUAUCUCAAUUGUAUCAUAAUAACUAUUGUCUGGUGUGGGAUGUGCAGUUGCGUAGUGCAGAGAAUAACAUGUACUGAUGUAGAUUGGAACAAACCAUCUACGUAAUGUUGAUGUGUACGUUUUUAAAUGUUAUUAUUACUCUUGUUUUUUUCAAGUUGUGUAUGUCUCUGCUGUCGUAAAGGAAUAUAACUUUCCAGGUGAAAUGUAUCUUUGGAGAAAGUGAAGUGUUUGUGGCUUUCACUUAAAAAAAUAAUAUUUUGCUUGCUUGAAAACCGUGCUUACAAAUGAAUGGUGAAUAUAGCCUUUUGCUUAUCCAUGUGUUAAUGUAGUCACUGUGGGUGUGAGGUAGCAGUAAUAAAAUGCUGUUUUAUAACAUA